GGGUGGUAAUGCCGGAUGCUCCAGUUGAUCGCAUGGUCUUCUGGGAAAGCUUUCGCGGUAUGGGAUGGGGUCGCGUCCUAUCAGCUUGACGGCGGGGUAACGGCCCACCGUGGCUUCGACGGGUAGCCGGCCUGAGAGGGCGACCGGCCACAUUGGGACUGAGAUACGGCCCAGACUCCUACGGGAGGCAGCAGUGGGGAAUAUUGCACAAUGGGCGCAAGCCUGAUGCAGCGACGCCGCGUGAGGGAUGGAGGCCUUCGGGUUGUAAACCUCUUUUAUCGGGGAGCAAGCGAGAGUGAGUUUACCCGUUGAAUAAGCACCGGCUAACUACGUGCCAGCAGCCGCGGUAAUACGUAGGGUGCAAGCGUUAUCCGGAAUUAUUGGGCGUAAAGGGCUCGUAGGCGGUUCGUCGCGUCCGGUGUGAAAGUCCAUCGCUUAACGGUGGAUCCGCGCCGGGUACGGGCGGGCUUGAGUGCGGUAGGGGAGACUGGAAUUCCCGGUGUAACGGUGGAAUGUGUAGAUAUCG
rnacentral:rRNA from 2 species